rnacentral:siRNA from 1 species
UGGUAAGUUAGAUUGUGUUGUCA